AUGAAAGCUUCUUUUUCACUUGACUUUUUUAAGUCAUGUCAAACUGAAAGAGAAAGUAAAUCAGUUCAGAAAUUGUCCAGUGGCCUUCUUACUCUCCAUCAAAAGAAUGAACAUUGCUGUGGAAAGAAAAACCAACUUCCAUUUGGUUUGAGAGAAAGACCCACAAGAUGUCUCUGCUUGAGGGACAAAAGAUGAAAAUGAAGCUAUACCGCAUAGCUUUGCCGUAAGUAUCUGCCAGCCCUGAUGCAACAAAAGGUGGAAAACUACAGUAUUCUGAGGAGCAUAAGACAGUAGAAUAGAGAAGAGGUAAAAGCCAACCAUGGGAAGGUAGGAGAGGUAAGAAAAAUGGAAAAGCAGCAGGAAGAAGACCUAGUAUAAGAGGAUCACCACCCGCAGGGAUCUGUUCCAUACAAUCACCUUUCUCAUGUGCAUUCCAUCAGUUCAAACUGUCUCUCCAGGACAGUGAGUGCAAGCUCUUUGACAAGUAUAUGGUACCCGUCUAGAACCAGAGCUGUAAUUACUGUGUUUGCUAUGCUGACACCAUUGUCUGACAAAAUAUUGUGCUGAACAUUUUUUUUUCUUUUGCCCUUUGUGCUGGCUUACUUUAGGUAAAAUAACAUCAGUCAGAUUCAUAUCCACCCCAGGUGAAAUCCUAUUACGAUCUAGUCAAAGGCUGGUGUCUACAUUAUUUCUUUGUGCCAGGAUUUCAUUGUAUUAAAUACUGUUGGAAAUCUGGUACUUGUGAAUCUUUUGGUGUUCUGUCGAAAGGGUAUUAUUACACACUGUAAUUUAGAAAGCAUUAAAGAACCGUUGCUGAAUGUGUGAAUUGCUUUUGUUUGGAUUAGAGCUGAGUUUUGCAAAUCGUGCCCUGCUAAACUCCAGAAGAGUGAAAGUGGGUUCGAUGGCCAAAAAUGUUUGGGAAGUACAAUGCAUGUUAGAAUAUUAAGGGCUCUGAGAAGUCAUGUAUUUAAAAAAGUGUUCAACUUUUAUAAACCAAGAUUUAUCAAAUAUAUUUGACCCUUCUCCUCUUUCUCCCGCUCUCUCUUUCUUUCAAUUUUCAUCAUAAAAUUCCUAAUGUGGGAUACCAAGUUUGAGGAAUGGAAAUGCUGGGUCAGGGUAUUCAUUCUUGCAUUUAUAGGGCACCUGCCAUGUGUUGGGAAAUGGGCCAGGCUGGCAAAACAAAGACAAAUAAGGCACAGUGCUCGUUCCUGAAAGGCUAGCAGAGGAGAUGCAAUGCAAAUGAUAUUACAGAGUUGUUUUGUUUUACUUUUUAAUUGUGGGAAAACAGGAGACAAAGCAACUGAACAGAAAAGAAGAGAGGUUAGGAACAUGUCUGGGAAAGCUUCCCUGGUGAGGAAGUCUCACUGUAAGAAUACAUUCAUGCAAAUGUCAGGUACUAGAGAUCUAUAAAAUAGCCAAUGGGGGAGAGGGUGGGGGAGGGAAGACCCUCUCAAACAUCCUCUACUAAACCAUUUUUAAGAUAGAUUCUAACAACAUAAAUUCUUCCUACCUCAGGACAUUGAUUAUGUCAACAUGUCUCCUUUAAGAUAGCUAGCUCUUAUUUCAGGGAGUUUCGUAGAAGAUGAGUAGUGGCCACAAAGAUAAUCUGCAUCUUGUUUUCUUCAACACAUAUACACUAACCAUUUUGGUCUUAAUUGGACAUCUGUUGAGAUCCUAGCUCUCUUGCCAUAGCUGGACAGGGAUUUAAGGAAUGUGCCAGGUUUCCCUGGCUGUGAACUUGUUUUUUCUUGUAUCCAACAUGCAUACUGGCAUAAGCCUUAUUAACUAGUUAUUCAUUGGAUGGGUAGUGGGAAUGGGUUGGAAUCCUUGAUGUGGUUCCAAACAUUGCUGGCUCUCUCAGCCUUAAAACCAACAGCCCAAAGACAUCUGAACAUCUUUGAUGUGUCCCAUAUAGUACCUAACACACUAGGCAUGCAGCAGCACCAUUAUAGACAAGUGGAAUGGAAAUGAACUGGUGGUGUUCUCUAAUAAAGAAAGAUGGUAUGCCCUCCACUCUGCCAAUCAAUUCACACACAUUAUUUUGUUUAAUCUUUAC
rnacentral:lncRNA from 1 species